AUUGAACGCUGGCGGCAUGCCUUACACAUGCAAGUCGAACGGCAGCACGGGGGCAACCCUGGUGGCGAGUGGCGAACGGGUGAGUAAUGCAUCGGAACGUGCCCAGUAGUGGGGGAUAACACAGCGAAAGCUGUGCUAAUACCGCAUACGACCUGAGGGUGAAAGCGGGGGAUCGCAAGACCUCGCGCGAUAGGAGCGGCCGAUAUCGGAUUAGCUUGUUGGUGAGGUAAAGGCUCACCAAGGCGACGAUCCGUAGCUGGUCUGAGAGGACGACCAGCCACACUGGAACUGAGACACGGUCCAGACUCCUACGGGAGGCAG
rnacentral:rRNA from 1 species